rnacentral:lncRNA from 1 species
GAUUCUGAGUGACAAAGAAGCCAGACACAAAAGGUCACACAUUAUGUCCAUUUUGUAGACUUCCAAAGUGUCUCCCCAUCUGAACGCUGCCAUGCUUCAUCACAUGACCUUCCCUGGAGGAAUGGAAAGAGACGAGGCAUCUAGUCUGCCCACACAGAGAGGGCGACAGCGGAAGGAUUCCACACAACCCAGCCUGGUGACCUAAAGCAAUCACUGGGGUUAUUCACAAGAUCAUGGAUGAUUCAAAGAAAGCUCCACCAGUGAGAAGCCAGCCCACUGGGCACCAAUACCACCAAAGUGCCGACUACACCUGCUGCAUGGAUAACUCACCGAAAGAUGCACCACUGAAGACCGCAGCAACCCCACCCAAGAGCACUACCUCCUGAGUUAGCCUUCCAAUGGGGAGGAAGCGGUGAGCAGCCCUGAAGGCCUUGAGCAGCAGCAGCAGCAGCAGCAGCAGCAGCAGCAGCAGCAGCAGCAGCAGACCAUGGGUCUGCUCACUCCCUCAGUAAGGGGAUGUGAACAGAUACAACCUCAGAA